CGCCAGAAUUUCUUCUGGUAGGAUCUGCCCACUGAAUAUUAAAUGGCCGCAGUACCCUGACUGUGCUAAGGUAGCAUAAUAAUUCGUCUUUUAAUUAAAGGCUAGUAUGAAUGAUUUGACGAAAGAAAAUCUGUCUUAGCUUAUUAAAAAAAAAAUUAACCUAGAAGUUAAAAGGCUUCUAUUUCCUAAAGGGACGACAAGACCCUAUAAAGCUUUAUUUAUAAUAUUUUUAUUUACUUCAAUAAAAAAUAUAAAUUUAUAAAUUCUAUUGGGGCGAUAGAUAAAUAAACAUUAUUGACUAUAACGUCUUUAACGAAAUUUAUAAAAUGUUUUUAAAAUAUACAACAAGUUACUUUAGGGAUAACAGCAUAAUUUCUUUUUAGAGUCCUUAUCGACAAAGAAGAUUAUGACCUCGAUGUUGAAUUGAGUUACUAUUUUUAUGGAGAUAUAAAAAGUAGAAGUCUGUUCGACUUUUAAUUUCUC
rnacentral:rRNA from 1 species